CAGAUACUCCCUCCGUUCCGAAUUACUUGUCGCAGGUAUGGAUGUAUCUAGAUGUAUUUUAGUUCUAGAUACAUCCAUUUCUGCGACGAGUAAUUUAGAACGGAGGGAGUACAAG
rnacentral:pre_miRNA from 1 species